AGAGUUUGAUCCUGGCUCAGGAUAAACGCUGGCGGCGUGCCUAACACAUGCAAGUCGAACGCUCUGCGCAAGCAGGGAGUGGCGGACGGGUGAGGACACGUGGGUAUCUACCCACAGGUGAGGAAUACCGGCGAGAAAUCGCCGACAAUACCGCAUAGGUUUCUUCGGAAACAAAGCUCGUAAGAGCGCCUGUGGAUGAG
rnacentral:rRNA from 1 species